ACCAAUUUUAGUAGUGGUACAGCGUCCCACUCGUAUGUAUACGGCAAUGGGAAGAUCACAGGUUCGAUUCCUGUAGUGGGCA